UUGUAAGUGUUUAAGGGCGCAUGGUGGAUGCCUUGGCACUGGGAGCCGAUGAAGGACGUGGGAGGCUGCGAUAUGCCUCGGGGAGCUGUCAACCGAGCGUGGAUCCGAGGAUGUCCGAAUGGGGAAACCCGGCACGAGUGAUGUCGUGUCACCCAACGCUGAAUAUAUAGGCGUUGGGGGGGAACGCGGGGAAGUGAAACAUCUCAGUACCCGUAGGAAGAGAAAA
rfam:Mycobacterium iranicum strain H39 scaffold_93, whole genome shotgun sequence.